UGAAAGGUGAUAAGAUCCCAAGUGGGUCA
rnacentral:sRNA from 1 species